rnacentral:rRNA from 1 species
UAGGGAAUCUUCCGCAAUGGACGAAAGUCUGACGGAGCAACGCCGCGUGAGUGAAGAAGGUUUUCGGUUCGUAAAACUCUGUUGUUAGGGAAGAAAAAAUGUAUAGUAACUAUAUACAAAAGAGACGGUACCUAACCAGAAAGCCACGGCUAACUACGUGCCAGCAGCCGCGGUAAUACGUAGGUGGCAAGCGUUGUCCGGAAUUAUUGGGCGUAAAGCGCGCGCAGGUGGUUUAGAAAGUCUGAUGUGAAAGCCCACGGCUCAACCGUGGAGGGUCAUUGGAAACUAAUAAACGUGAGUGCAGGAGAGAAAAGUGGAAUUCCUAGUGUAGCAGUGAAAUGCGUAGAGAUUAGGAGGAACACCGGUGGCGAAAGCGGCUUUUUGGCCUGCAACUGACACUGAGGCGCGAAAGCGUGGGGAGCAAACAGG